GAUGAACGCUGGCGGCGUGCUUAACACAUGCAAGUCGAACGGAAAGGCCCAAGCUUGCUUGGGUACUCGAGUGGCGAACGGGUGAGUAACACGUGGGUGAUCUGCCCUGCACUUCGGGAUAAGCCUGGGAAACUGGGUCUAAUACCGGAUAGGACCACAUUUUGGAUGGUGUGGCGGAAAGUUUUUCGGUGUGGGAUGAGCUCGCGGCCUAUCAGCUUGUUGGUGGGGUAAUGGCCUACCAAGGCGUCGACGGGUAGCCGGCCUGAGAGGGUGUACGGCCACAUUGGGACUGAGAUACGGCCCAGACUCCUACGGGAGGCAGCAGCGGGGAAUAUUGCACAAUGGGCGCAAGCCUGAUGCAGCGACGCCGCGUGGGGGAUGACGGCCUUCGGGUUGUAAACUCCUUUCGCUAGGGACGAAGCGUUAUGUGACGGUACCUGGAGAAGAAGCACCGGCUAACUACGUG
rnacentral:rRNA from 1 species